CAGAGAGGGCAAGCGUUAUUCGGAAUUAUUGGGCGUAAAGAGCGCGUAGGCGGCCUUUCAAGUGACGGGUGAAAUCCCUCGGCUUAACCGAGGAACUGCCUGUCAGACUGGAAGGCUUGAGACCGGGAGAGGUGAGUGGAAUUCCCAGUGUAGCAGUGAAAUGCGUAGAUAUUGGGAGGAACACCAGUGGCGAAGGCGGCUCACUGGACCGGAACUGACGCUGAUGCGCGAAAGCGUGGGGAGCAAACAGGAUUAGAUACCCUGGUAGUCCACGCCGUAAACGAUAAGUGCUUGGUGUAGCGGGUAUCGACCCCUGCUGUGCCGAAGUCAACACAUUAAGCACUCCGCCUGAAAAGUACGGUCGCAAGACUG
rnacentral:rRNA from 1 species